rnacentral:rRNA from 1 species
UACGGAGGGUGCAAGCAUUGAUCGGAAUUACUGGGCGUAAAGGGCGCGUAGGCGGCGAAUUAAGUCGGAUGUGAAAUUCCGCGGCUCAACCGCGGAGCUGCAUUCGAAACUGGUUGGCUAGAGCAUAGUUAGGGAAAACGGAAUUCCACGUGUAGCGGUGAAAUGCGUAGAUAUGUGGAAGAACACCGGUGGUGAAGACGGUUUUCUGGGCUAUAGCUGACGCUGAGGCGCGAAAGCUAGGGGAGCAAACAGG